UAAAUACAGCAGCAAAAAUAUACCCCGCCAAAAAAAAAGCUUUCGCCAGCUUUAAAGUAUCUAGAAAGUAGAAACUAAUCUGAGUCUAACAAAUGCUUUCCAUUCGAACGUCAAAAAAUUUUAAUCUAUUAAAUAUCCCACUCAUGUAGGUUGUUAAUUCUAAUGCAUUUUCAAUGAUUAUUAAGGUUGACCAAGCCACAGAACUACCACCAACCUCUUUGGUUGUAAAAAGCACCACAACAAAUCAAAUUAGCAACAAAACACUCAUACCUAGCAUACCUUGUAACUACAAGAUCAAUCAG
rnacentral:misc_RNA from 1 species